AUGGGUAUUAUAAUUGUUGUUGUGGGCCUGAGGCCCAGUGUAUUAUUGUUGGUUCAUUUUUUUACAGGAGAGUUAGGUCCAGUUAUAGGAAAAAUUCUGUCAAAAUUUUAGCAAAACUUUAGGAUUUAUUUUGAUUCUAUGGCUUAAAUUAAUUAUUUAAUUUUGUCAGUCUUUUGAUAGAGGUCAGUGUGUAUAUUUAGGUGAUCGAUGCAGGCCAUCUUCUCCUUCCAGUUGGAUUAGCUGUAGUACAGUGUACUCGUCUGUGAGUUGGAUAUUGAUUAUU
rnacentral:misc_RNA from 1 species